UGGCUCUCCCAUCGAUGAAGAACGCAGCGAAAUGCGAUAAGUAAUGUGAAUUGCAGAAUUCAGUGAAUCAUCGAAUCUUUGAACGCACCUUGCACCCUUUGGUAUUCCGAAGGGUAUGCCUGUUUGAGUGUCAUCAAAUUAUCAAACUGAAUGAUUAAGUUCUGUUCGGUUUGGAUCUGAGGGCUUUGUCGGACUCGUCAAAGAGGUCGACUCCCUUUAAAAGCAUUAGCGGAUUUAACCAUCGUGGAUACGCCUCGAUUUGAUAAUAUCUAUGUCGUCGCGCUGAAGCGGUAAUCUGCUCAUAACCGUCCUCUUUGGACAAUCUAUGACAAUUUGACCUCAAAUCAGGUAGGACUACCCGCUGA
rnacentral:misc_RNA from 1 species